rnacentral:rRNA from 1 species
AUGAGUCCGCAUGUUCACAUGAUUAAAGGUAUUCCGGUAGACGAUGGGGAUGCGUUCCAUUAGAUAGUAGGCGGGGUAACGGCCCACCUAGUCUUCGAUGGAUAGGGGUUCUGAGAGGAAGGUCCCCCACAUUGGAACUGAGACACGGUCCAAACUCCUACGGGAGGCAGCAGUGAGGAAUAUUGGUCAAUGAGCGAGAGCCUGAACCAGCCAAGUAGCGUGAAGGAUGACUGCCCUAUGGGUUGUAAACUUCUUUUAUAAAGGAAUAAAGUCGGGUAUGCAUACCCGUUUGCAUGUACUUUAUGAAUAAGGAUCGGCUAAUUCCGUGCCAGCGGCCGCGGUAAUGCGGAGGAUCCGAGCGUUAUCCGGAUUUAUUGGGUUUAAAGGGAGCGUAGAUGGAUGUUUAAGUCAGUUGUGAAAGUUUGCGGCUCAACCGUAAAAUUGCAGUUGAUACUGGAUAUCUUGAGUGCAGUUGAGGCAGGCGGAAUUCGUGGUGUAGCGGUGAAAUGCUUAGAUAUCACGAAGAACUCCGAUUGCGAAGGCAGCCUGCUAAGCUGCAACUGACAUUGAGGCUCGAAAGUGUGGGUAUCAAACAAGAUUAGAUACCCUGGUAGUCCACACGGU